rnacentral:sRNA from 1 species
UGGGCGAUUCGGGUGAUGAAUAUAGACAUAGAUAAAUUACCAAAAGACAGCACAGGAUGAACUUCUUCACUGGAAAUUUCGGACAUUGUCAAACUCUUCACGGGAGUAAUACAGUCUCAAUUCAAGACGUUCUCGGGACAAUCGAGAGCGGAGAACCAUAUCCUGCGUUUCAACAGCAGCAACAGCAGCCAUUUCUCUACGGCCAGAGCAGAAACAAACAGUCAAACAGGCAGUCUAUGCCGUAUGACGUCUGUUUCAACUGCUUUGAAACAGGGCACUGGAAGUCCAACUGUCCAAAGGGAAGGCCACACAAAGUCAAUGAUAAAUGUGAGGCAUCUCUAUGGUAAGAGGAAUCUAAAUUGUGAAAAUCGUGGCUCUACAACCCCCGGGGCACCACAUGUGGGGCCAAAUAUGCCAAAAAAGCCAAAUUUUCAAAAAUCUUCUCUACUCCCACACAUGUGAGGAAAAAACUGUUGCAUAGUUAUAAUGUCCAGGAAGCCCUCUACCAAAAUUGUGAAAUUCAUGGCCCCUGGGUCAGGAGUUCUGGCUCUAGGGUGGGGCCAAUAUGGCCAUAUAGCAAAAAUGUAUUAAAUCUUAGAAAUUCUUCUUCUCUACUCCCAUAUAUAUUUGUUAAAAACUAAAUUGCAUGAUUAUGAUGUACAUGAGGCCCUCUACCAAAAUUGUGAAAUUCAUGACCCCUGGGUAAGGGGUUCAGGCUGAAGGGUUGGGCCAAUAUGGCCAUAUAGUUAAAAUGUAAUAAAUCUUAGAAAAUCUUCUUCUCUACUCC